UUUAAAAUGAGAGUUUGAUCCUGGCUCAGGACGAACGCUGGCGGCGUGCCUAAUACAUGCAAGUCGAACGA
rnacentral:rRNA from 1 species